rnacentral:ncRNA from 1 species
UGGGUGGUAUCCUUUAUGGAACUACACCAAGUUUUUCGUUUUUUGUUAGUAAUUCAAAAUUAUAUUCUGCCUUGAUCCAAUGGACUGGGACAGAGGG